AGUCAAAAGAUCUCAAUACAACAACACAACUAACUUCUCUCAGAUCUUCUUCCUUUCUUUCCACGUAAACAUACCGCGGACAAAGGUAGCAAAAGCAUUCACCUAAAUUCAUUAUUUUGUUUUUAUCCAAUCAACACAAAUAUGAGUCUGCCUAAAGCUUAUACUAUUCUGAUUACCUUAGAGUUGGGUUCAAUUGGAAUUAAAUAUCAAGGUUUAAACACUAAUCCAUUCCAACAAUCAUCCCCAAUUAUGUUACUGUUUUUGACUUCUAUAUUUUGUCAUAUCGUUGCAUCCACAGCUGACAUGAACUUACCAACUACUAUGGUAAUAUUUCACAUAUCUGGUGUUGUUGGAUGUGAGAUACUUUUAUGGAUUCUCAUCCCUCAGUUCUGGAAUUGAUUUCAGCAAACAUCAAGCAAUAUUGUGCAACCUGUUUUUCUUGUAUUGUUGGAAUGAUUCUUUUUGGUGGUCUCCGAGCACCCAAAGCCCAAAAGGAACAAGAAAUACUAGUUCUGAACCACAAGACGAUAACACAAGAAGCAGAGAGAAUUCAAGAAAAAGAUCUAGGAGCUCGAAUGAAGUAGAGAAACACGAACUGUCCAAAGAUCUAGAAGAAUUUAGGAAGGAUGUGAGAUGUGGUUCUAUAGGUACUAAAGAGUAUAAGUCCCGGUUCUCAGGAUCAGGCCUUAAGCAGUUGUUGUUUAGAGAAUGAAUUCAAUUAAUCUCAUGAGCUACUUGGAGGGCAUCUUCAAGUUUGAUCUAGAACAAUUCUGCAACACUUGAUUUAAGAGGUCUUGUUCUUGCAUCAUUUUGUCCAUUUAAUUUACAAUUUCUAUAGACUUUAACAAUGCAUUAACCAAUUGCUUCAUAGUUUAAUUAACUUAAUACUUUGAAUGAAUAAAGAUAUCCAUGAUAUAAUUUAGUAUAAUGUUAAAGUUAUUUAGAGACUGGUUUAUUAUGCAAUAUAUAGAAUUAAGAUUAAGACAAAAUGAAAGUUUUAAACGGAAAUGUUAGUACUAAAACUGAUAUCCAAACCCUGUUUACAACACCAAUAUCAUAGGGAAAAUUGAAGUCAGAAAGAACGUUACAUAGAUAAAAUAGAUACUGUAGAAUUAUUUGCUCCAUGUUUUGUCUCUUACAAUUGACCUCGUAAGUUAGCACUUCGUAUUUCUCUGCGGAAAAAGCAUUGCUCAUGCUUAUAUAACAUCAUGAAGGUUUUCUAAAUAUUUGUGACUACUUAGUAUACUGGCUUAACCGCACACGUAGUCGAAACAUGGAAAUUCUAUCAUAGUUGAAACAACAGUUGAAGAUGAUAUUAUAUAUGCAUGACUGAAAAUAGAUGGAGUAAAACUGCCAUAUGGAAAUUCUGUUAGAAAAUGAUUAGGAUGAAAGAUAAAACACAUGAGAUCAAUAUUCUAAUUAAUGUAAUUAGAUAAUACUAAUAGAUCAAAUUAUAGAGAAGAAAAAUCUGCCGUCGAGAAAUGACUUCCCUAGUAAUAAGCAUAAACCAUGACAUACUAAUUGGACAAACAACUUAAAAUAUUAUAACUUAUUUUUUUAACAAAAGAUAAUCAAAUCAAAUUGUUUAAACUAUAAGCUAUCAUGAAGAGCAUGUAAAUAAGAUUGGUAUUUUUGUUUGUGUUUAUUCUCAAUUUGCUGCAAAUAUGCAAUUGCUCAUCAAAUAAAGCUCAAGGACAUAGAAUUGAAACGAAAUACAGGAUAUUUUAGUUGCAUAUGUCGGGUAAAUUUUAUUAUUUUGUAUAAAAAUGUAAUGCAAUUCUGUUUUUUUUUUUUAAAUUUAAAUUUAGUGGUCAGAAAGUUGUGUAUGUUUGAAUGGAUAAUUUUUAUGUGGAGAUGUAAAAUUUCUUUUUUUUACCAAUUGUCAAAUAGUGUAGAGGAAUUAUAAUAAUUUGUUAAUGUUUUUUGACAUAUCAGUGCUAUAGUAUUGUAGUGUGGCAGAAUUACCAGUCAUGCCUUCACAUGUUACUGCACCAUUUUUUAUGUGCAUUCCAUGUAAUGCGCGACCUGUUGUUGCUUCAUCCAAUCCUGCCAUUUUAGAAUUCCAUUAGCAGCUGCCAAGCGAGCCGCACAAUGUGCAGCUUGCUUUUCUUUUCACGUUGCAGUCUUCGCAUGUCCGAGUUGAAUGGGUAUCCAACUAUCUCUAAACUUUUUGAUUUUAUGUGACCAAUUAUGUCACAAUGAUCACAAUUUGGAUUGGAUCCGCCUCGCCACUUUUGUUUUCUGCCACUAGAAUCGAAUGCUGCUCCUGCAUCUAGUUUGUAGAUGAUCCACUAUAGUAGAAUUGUGGCUUUGACAUCAGUGAAUUGCUCAUUGUCAAGGCAGCUAAGAAAAAGAUGAACUUUUUUAUCUUCUUCUCUUUUCAUAAAUUCCUUGGAGGCUGAUGACGGGCUAUUAGUGCACAUCAUUUAGCAUGAAAAAUCGUCGGAUUCUGAGAAGAAUCAAACAAGUUAGAAGCAUUUAAGUGAAAAAAGCUUAAAUAAUUGCUUUUGGGUGGAGAAAAGGACAUAGUGAAAAAAUUGGUGAAAAAAGAAACAAAAAACACGCUGAAGUCCCUGGAAAAUACGCGCCAACAACGUCCCCACGCUAUCUUCUAAUGCGCCCGCGCUGAAAAGUAUCACGCCCGCGUUGAAGCAUUGAUGGCACAAAGCGCUCGCGUUGAGAGGCAGCGCGCACGCAUUGCAGUUUUUCGACACGUUUAACAUCCGCUUUAUAAGGAAAAGGUAGAGAAAAAUAGGAGUUCGACCAAGUCCUCAAAGUGACGUUUUGCUGCAAUUUUAAUUAAACAUGAGUAGUUAGAUUCUCCUAGUUUAGGUCGAACUUGAUGAUGAACCUGUUUUACUUUAUUGAGACAUAUGAUCGGAUGAUGUUAAUGUAUUGUUCUAACUUAUUGUUAUUAUUCAAUUAUUGAUUGUGCACAUUAUGUUUUGAUUUUUACGUCAUUGGAAUCGAUAUUGAUAAAUAUUGACUACUGACCCUAGGGCUAUCUAUUUGAACUAAUUUAAUUGUUGAAUUCUCUAAUUGACUAGGGAUAGUAUGAUUAGGAAUUGAAAAUAAGGGACUAACGCACUCUAUUGCCUAAUUUGACGGGACAAUUGGCCUGAGGGAUCGGGGAGUUAACGCUUAGAUUAGUGAGCUAUACGUCAAGGGAUUGGGUAUAAUGAUAGAGUUAGUCUGUCGUAUAACUCUGUAGUCAGUGCAUGUUUGUUAAUGCGUGUUUCAUUAAUCAACUAAAAUUAUGAGAUUAUGAUAAGACGACUUGACCUCUUUUCUCACUAUCGCUUUAAAAACAUUUUCUUGCAUUUUCGACUAAACAAAUCUUAAAAAUCCCCCCGUUUACUGUUUUAAUUUACAUCACAUAAUAUUUCUUGUUUAAAGUUCGCAAUCCCCGUAGAGACGAAUUUUAUUUUCAUUACUUUGAUAACAUUGCUAGUACACUUGCUAGUAAUUUUAUCAUCUAGUUUUUGACGUCGUUGCCAGAGACUGUUUACAUUCUCAACAAGGCAUAGUGAGUUACUUGUUUUAUUUUUAAUUUUUGUUUAAUUUUAAUUUUGUUAAUCUGAUUAUUCACUAUUGUUCCGAUUUGACCCAAUGUCCAGGCAUGACCCAAUCCACUUUUGCACCCAGAAGGCCAAUUAGCCUUGGCACAACCAGUGAGGGCAAAGGGAAGCUCCUUUCCUCCUGUCCCUCCGCCGAGGACACAUCCUCACCUGGCCAACGGACCAGCGAACCAACGCUACCCUUGGCCAGACCUCCACGUAAGCCGACACCAAGACAUCCCUUUUGCUCCUCCGUCAGUGACAGAUGGACACUUGCUCGCUGGGCACCGUUGCUUCCUAGAAAUGCAUCUCUGUCUCGCCUCAACGGCUAGUUUCGGGCAGCCUUCCAGAAUUUCUAGUUUUACGCCUAGAUUCCUGUCAGUCACAUAUUUUGGGCCUGGAUCCUUGAUCCAACCGAAAUAUGGACCAAUGGUCAAGUGUUGGGGACAUUAUAAAAACCCUCUCAUAUGGACCAAUGACCUAUUGACUUUUGCAUUGGAGUGCCUUAUAGGUACACCACCUUCCUUUAAAUUACCAACAUUAUACGCGAAGUCGUUGGCCCACUUUCAGGUUCUAGUCAACCGGUAAGAUCAUUGGCGCCGUUUGUGGGAACAUCUGUUCUCCCCAUCUUUCUUUCCUUGGAAACCAAAGAUCCAAACAGUUUUUCAAGAUUUCAACCAUGGCCAGUCACAACGACAACCGCAAUGUUCACCCCUCCGUCAUUUCUCCCGAGCACCAAACCAACCUUGCCAGCAUGAAUCCCUUUUUGGAGGACGCAGUUCCUCCGAAAAGGGACGGAGCCACCGCAUCCCCCUCUCUGAACGGCGCACACGAUCUUGGCACUCAGUUCGAUGACACUAGCAAGAUCAAGAAAGUUCUGGAGGAUGCACCUGAAAUAUUCAAGCAGAUUCCUAUGCCGACCAAUGCCGACAUUAUCCUAGCAGUCUUGGUCGAGGCAUUCAACAAGACAAACUCCUUAAUCAUGCACCAGAACAAGAGGAUCAGAGCACUAGAGAAAGCACGCCUUUCCAGAUCUCCUCUGCGGAGACACUGAAGAGAAUCCCGGAGUCCAUCAUUGCGACAUAGAGAGCACCGCUCGACUCAAGGGGAACAAGAAUCCCUAGGUGUCAAGAAACAUGAUUGCAUACCUCCCCGCAGGAGCCCGCGCUCCCCGGUGACAAAGAAAAGAAAAGAGAAUCCAUGGGCAGAGAACAUACGCACUCUCCCCCCCCCCCCCGCUCGACUCGAAGGACCGGUUAAGAACUCCUUCUCCUCGCCAAGAACGUGGUCCUCGAUACGGUAGAUGCAACACAUCUCCUGCCCGGUCUCCUAGCUCCAGCAACAAAGACGUGCCUCGCGGCCCGUCGUCUCUUGAAAUAAUGACUACACGACUACCUAAAGGAUUGGAGAAGCUCCACCUCUAGGCACCUACGACGGAACAAGCGACCCUGACGAGCACAUCAAAAAUAUCGACGCUCUCCUCAAUUAUCGUGGCGUCAAGGGCGCCAUCAAAUACAGGUUGUUCCCCAUAACACUAAGAAAUGGGGCCAUGUCCUGGUACAAGAGCCUCCCUUAUGGGUCCAUCGCCUCGUGCAAAUAGUUAGGGAGGAUGUUCUUCAAACAUUUCACAGCUUCUCACCUACAUCCGAAAUCAGAUGCCUCACUCGAGAUGAUAAUCCAGGGAAAGGACGAGUCCCUCCGGACAUAUAUUAAGAGAUUCAACAAAGAAGUCGUCCUAGUCUCCACGAUAAAUGACAUGAAGAAAUAUCUGCUCAAGCGAGGUCUGCGCCCCCGCGGCAACUUUGCCAAGGUAGUUGGCAUCGAGACCCCUCUUACCCUGGACACCCUCCUCCUCAAGGCCAAGACAUACAUUCAAUACGAGAAAAAUGAAGUAGCCAAUACUGCCCGAUAUUCGAGACACCAGAAGAAUUCAAAAUCCUCGAGGCCCGGUGACUCCUCGAUAUCUCAUAGGGGAGGAUACAAGAACAAAGAGGAAAGAUCCCAUGAAUCUUGGGAAUACAAGGGACAAACUGGUCGUUUUCAUGAGUACACGUCGCUGUCCGCCUUACGAGAAAAUAUUUUCCGAGUGCGCCAAUGCAGUUUUCUGUGAGGCUGGGGUUCGCUUUCCCCGACAAACGCUAGCAAAACCAAACAAAAACAAGACUAAAUACUAUCAGUUCCACAAGAGCCACGUGCAUACCACUGAAGACUACAUCAACCUCAAGAAUGCCAUCGAGAUCCUGAUCCGAGACGAGCAUCUCAAAAAAUAAACAAAGAAAAGGGAUGAUGCUCGGCAGGAACCCUGAGAAACGAAAAAAUUUCGGGAAAGAGAAACCCCCUUUAGAUGAUGUCAGUAUGCCCGUAUCCUUGAGCGUAACACGACUAAAGGACUUCUACGUCCCGGACGAAGACGCGCUCCCCUUAUAUCUAGCAACACAUAGUCCCCGGGAGAACUUUACCUCUGCCUUGGUCAUAUCGGGUGGGAGGGAGCAGCAAGAUGACCGUGGGCUCGGUCAAAAGAAAAUUCGAGCAACCCAUUAGUACAAGCUCCAACACUAGUUCCACCCUUAACAAGAUCCGAGGCACCUCCAUUCCUAUAGCUUUUUUCUGAGAGGAACUCCCCGGCGGUUCCCUUAACUCAAGCAUUCCCCUGCUCGUACUGGCACAAAUGACGAACUUUGAUUUCUGAGGCAUUUUAGUUAACCAAGGGAGCUCGGUCGAUAUCAUGUACUCACAACUAUUCUCCAUGCUGCAAUUGGAUGAAACAUACCUGACACCAUACGUAGGUUGUGACCUACAAGGUUUCAAUGACAGUUAUAAAGCCGUGAGGUACGUAGAACUGCUCGUCACAUUCGGGGUCGUAGAAAUGUCUAGAUCUAUCAAAGUUCAAUUCCUGGUGAUAGACUACCCCUCACUUUACCAGCACAUCCUUGGCAGGCCGAUGCUGGCCGAACUGAUACUUGUGCCUUCCAUAGUGCACAUGAAGAUGAAAUAUUACACCUCCAAGGGUCUCUUCGCCAUCCUCCACGGGGACAUCGAGGCUGCAAGGAGAUGCUUUAAGGCUGCGUCGAAGGGGCUAAACACCAUCAGUGCGCUGGCAAAAAACAAGCUCGAUCUGCCCAACAGCUCCGAAGAGCCUAGAUCAUUACCUUGCAUCGACUGUGAAGUCCACUUGAGGCCUUGGAAGUUCCAUUUCCUUGAGAGAAAUCAAAACCCUAAUUGGAGGUCCAUUGCUUAGGAGGCUUCUUGAAACAAACUGUCUUGAAUAUGUGAGGGCAAAUUUGAGUGUGCAACAAACCUCAUCUGUAAAUGCAAGCUUCUCAAGCAUAGUGUGUUUUGAUGAAGACAAUAUGGACAUCAAGCUUUUAUAAAGGAUGUGCAAAAAGAAUUUCAAGUAUCAAGCAAAAAUACAUCAUUUCAAAGUCUUGAAGAAAUUGUGAAGAUUCAAGAAUCAAGCUAAAGUAUCAAAGGUAUAAACAAUACUCACUUUGACAUAUAAUUGUUCACAAAUAUAUUUCCAUGCAUAUCAUAAACAUACUACAAAGUGUCAUCCUUCAAAAGUUCAUUUAAAACCUUUUUCUAAGUUAAAAUUCAAAAUAAAGGUUUUAGGAACCGGGUUGUCCCUAUGGGGGAACCGGUUCCCAGCAUUCUAAGUUUUCAGUUCUCUGUGUUUUACUAUGGGGAACCGGGUUGUCCCUAGGUGGGAACCGGUUCCUCAGUUCAAAAUUUGAAAUUUCUGCUGUAACGUUCAGCAGGAACCGGGUUGUCCCAGGUAGGAACCGGUUCCUACUGAACCAGUGUGUUUUUUCAUUGCAUGAUCUUAUUCAAACGAAUCCAUUUUCUUACCACUUGAUCAUUGCAUUGUUUCAUGGAAAAAUAACCAUUCAAAGAGGUGUUUGACACAUUAUAAAUACUACAUAUUUCAAAAUCAUUAUUCACCUUCUUUAUUAACAAUUCAUACUCAUAAAUUUCAUUAUUUUCAAGUGUCCACAAACCAGAAUUUUUAUAUGAAACUUUCUACACACAUUUUCAUUGAGAAUUCAUUUAAAGUUUCAUGCAUACAUUGUGAACACUUAUAUUCAUUUUGAGAAUUGUUUAUUUGAAGAAGAAGAUCAAUCCAAGAUUGAUAGUGCUAUACAAACUUCAUCUAAAUCUCUUGUAAAAAAUUCAAAGAAAAUUAUCUCCUUACUAUCCAGGAUUGUUGGAAGUAGGUGGUGUGUUUGAAGAGGAUUGUUCUUCAUUCACAUUAGUGUUGAUUGAUCUUAAAGGUGUUAAGAACCUUUGAUCACCCUAUAGGUUAGAUAGUAGGCAUAGGCUUGUACAAUAAUUCUAACUAUAGUGAAAUCUCUUUCGUGUUUGAAAGGGGACUGGAGUACUCUCGGAUUGUGAGGGGAACCAGUAUAUAUCGUUGCGUUCUUUACUUUUCCGCACUUUAUUGCAUUCAUCACCAUUACCAAAGAAAAGAAAAGAACCUUACAAAAACCUUCAAACACUUAACCAAAAAUUAUUAGAAGUAUUCUCAUAAAACCGAUUAAAUUUUUGAAAACCUAAUUCACCCCCCCCUCUUAGGCGCAAUCUUAUACUUACAUUUGGUAUCAGAGCAAGUUAUAGGUAACUUGUUCCUAAAGAUCCAGAAUGGCUUCCGCAAAUCAAAGACCGGUUUUCAAAGAUGGUGGUUCUAACAACAAGCCUCCAUUGUUUUGUGGUGAAUAUUUUGACUUUUGGAAAAUCCAAAUGAAGGCUCAUCUAGAAGCACAAGGAGAAGAAGUUUGGGAGGCUGUCCUACAAGGUCCUCAUGUUCCUACAACGGUCGUUAAUGGUGUUGGAUCGGAGAAACCUAAAGCGU